GCCAGAGUCAGAGCCUGGCUUCUCUCCAAUGUGUUGAACCACUUUUGGCACGUGCAGCUCUUCACACAGAGAGCCAGUGGCUCUCAGCACAGUUCCAAGGCUGCAGGAGAGUUGGAAACAUGCAUCUCUAAUUCCCUGAAGGACCUGUGACAUCUGUGAGAAAGUGCAAUAACUCCCUGGCCACUCUUCCACCAUAUCCCUUGAACCUGCUGCAGAUGAGCCUAAAGUGCUUUGUGCGUGAGAUUAAAAAGCUGCAAGUCUCAGGCCAUCUGGCCAACCAAAUGGAUUUCGUGUACAGGAUCACUG
rnacentral:lncRNA from 1 species